AGGAAAUGACGUCACGAACGCUUCCGCCUCUUCCGAACACCAGGAGAACGUGGCCGGCGGAGCAGCAUGGUGACCGAGGGAGGUGAAGAGCCCGGCGGAGGAGCGAAGGGCGAAGCUUUAAAGCUAUAUUGUCCGCGGGAACAGGCAGAGGAAGGCCCGUGAGAGACCAGAGCAAGUUCCUGACCAGGCGUUGUCUCCAGAGCUGUUUGGGGCAGAGACUAAAGAUGAAGAGAACACAAUGAUAUGGGACCAAUGCAGAGAGAAGAUUUUGGAUUGAGAUCGUGGACAUCGUGCUCACCACACAGCUAGAUGACUCCCUUUUAAUCUUUGCACAGAUCUUCUCUCAUCCAGAAUGUCUGGAACCGUUGUUAAGUCGAACUUUCAGUCUUGGGAAGACGGGGCAAAAUGUCUCGCAACGCAGCAUCCACACGCCUUUAUUUUGAAAAGACCCAUGAAGAAAAAAAAGAGUCCUAUUUUGUUCAGGAAAAGGCCCAAAUAAAGACCAAGCAUGGA